GACGAACGCUGGCGGCGUGCUUAACACAUGCCAGUCGAACGGAAAGGCCCUGCUUUUGUGGGGUGCUCGAGUGGCGAACGGGUGAGUAACACGUGAGUAACCUGCCCUUGACUUUGGGAUAACUUCAGGAAACUGGGGCUAAUACCGGAUAGGAGCUCCUGCUGCAUGGUGGGGGUUAGAAAGUUUCGGCGGUUGGGGAUGGACUCGCGGCUUAUCAGCUUGUUGGUGGGGUAGUGGCUUACCAAGGCUUUGACGGGUAGCCGGCCUGAGAGGGUGACCGGCCACAUUGGGACUGAGAUACGGCCCAGACUCCUACGGGAGGCAGCAGUGGGGAAUAUUGCACAAUGGGCGGAAGCCUGAUGCAGCAACGCCGCGUGCGGGAUGACGGCCUUCGGGUUGUAAACCGCUUUCGCCUGUGACGAAGCGUGAGUGACGGUAAUGGGUAAAGAAGCACCGGCUAACUACGUG
rnacentral:rRNA from 1 species